CUUUUAAGUUACUGGAGUGUUGGUGAUUGGUGAUUGGUGAUUAGUGAUUACUUCAGCACCUUUUGAUUAAACCCAGCUUAAAGCAGAACUGAGGAUCAUCAUACAAGGAUCUUGAACCACUUUCAGAGUAUGCUUUCCCUUCAGUUGAUCAUUUCAUAAUUUUCAGCCUCACCCAGAUCCCCAUACUUGAAAUUUUGAAAGCCGGCUGCUUUCUCUCUCUCUUUCUCUCUAAGAUCCCAAUUUGUAUCUCUAAGAAAGUAGGAGCCAGCUAUUGAUGUGAUUGGCGUGGAAGAAGGAAAAAGUUCGAAGACGAAAGGAAAAAGUUCAUCAAUGGAGUUCUGAAUAUUCAUGAAAGAUUCAGGGGAAAGAAGUCACUAUCUUGCAUAUUCUUGAAAUUAAAUUGUUAUUGGCAUGUGGUUACAUCUGAUGUAGCACUGAGAGCAUAAUUAACCACUAUUUGUUUAACCAUAUGUAUAUAUAUGUACAAAGGAACUUUGAUUCCAAGUUCUGCAAAUAUAUUCCUGCCAAGUUCUGCACAAAUAUUCCAAAACAUUCUAACCUCAUUUUAAUAAUUUUAAUGGAAUUCUUCAUCAUUAUUCUAA